rnacentral:ncRNA from 1 species
CCGGCCCUACUCCAUUACCAUAGGGCCGGGCACCAGAAAGAAGGAGGAAAAUCCGCCGGCCGGCGGUGCGGCAGUGUGGAGACCUGCCGUAAACCUCUGGAGGGAUCGCUCCUCCAGCAGGGAGGAACCUGUGCGGAGGCACGGGAACCACGGUCUGUUAUCAUGUC